rnacentral:lncRNA from 1 species
UUCCUUUUCCCUCCAUGCCAUUCACAUGCUAUGUUUCAUUCAUUUUUAAUUUUUCUCCAUCUUCCAAAAAUCAUAUUAAAUUGAAAAUUGAUCCAAAAAAUAUGUGGUUUUUUGCAUGAUGUCACAUUUGCUGUCUAUUAUCUUUUGAUUAUUUUUUCAUAAAUUGUGCAUGGCUGGAAAUUAAUUGGUCCUAGGGUUUGUGAACAUGUAUGCCUUUUAUACCUUGCCUUGCUU